UACGGGGGGGGCAAGCGUUGUUCGGAAUUACUGGGCGUAAAGGGCGCGUAGGCGGUUCGUACAGUCAGACGUGAAAUUCCCGGGCUCAACCUGGGGGCUGCGUUUGAUACGUGCGGGCUUGAGUUCGGAAGAGGGUCGUGGAAUUCCCAGUGUAGAGGUGAAAUUCGUAGAUAUUGGGAAGAACACCGGUGGCGAAGGCGGCGACCUGGUCCGAUACUGACGCUGAGGCGCGAAAGCGUGGGGAGCAAACAGG
rnacentral:rRNA from 1 species